UACGUAGGGUGCAAGCGUUAUCCGGAAUUAUUGGGCGUAAAGAGCUCGUAGGCGGUUUGUCGCGUCUGCUGUGAAAACUGGAGGCUCAACCUCCAGCCUGCAGUGGGUACGGGCAGACUAGAGUGCGGUAGGGGAGAUUGGAAUUCCUGGUGUAGCGGUGGAAUGCGCAGGAUAUCAGGAGGAACACCGAUGGCGAAGGCAGAUCUCUGGGCCGUAACUGGACGCUGAGGAGCGAAAGCGUGGGGAGCGAACAGG
rnacentral:rRNA from 1 species